UACAGAGGUCUCAAGCGUUGUUCGGAUUCAUUGGGCGUAAAGGGUGCGUAGGUGGCGCCGUAAGUCAGGUGUGAAAUUUCGGAGCUUAACUCCGAAACUGCAUUUGACACUGCGGUGCUUGAGGACUGGAGAGGAGACUGGAAUUUACGGUGUAGCAGUGAAAUGCGUAGAGAUCGUAAGGAAGACCAGUGGCGAAGGCGGGUCUCUGGACAGUUCCUGACACUGAGGCACGAAGGCCAGGGGAGCAAACGGG
rnacentral:rRNA from 1 species